rnacentral:tRNA from 1 species
GGGGUUGUGGCUCAGUCGUAGAGUACUCGUCUAGCACACGUGAGGCCCUGGGUUCAAUCCUCUGCACCA